UUGACAGUUGGCCCAAUCAAAUUUAAACAUCUUUCCGCCAAAAAGGAAUCCCAGCCAAACCGGCAUGGCUGCUUUUUUAGAGCUGUGAUAAACUAUCGAGUUUUAUAAGUUGCUAGAAGGCGUAACAGUUGAGAAUUAGGUUGAUGUCUAAUUCCCUAAUGGCCCAAUUUAAUUUAAAGGGAAAUAAAGGGAGGCGGUCCAUAAUGGACUUAGAAAUUUACAAAGUUGUCAGAGAUAGUGUAAUGAUCAGUCAGCCGAGCUGCAAUGAAGCCGAGAUAAUAACAGCAGUUUCGGCUCAUCUAAAAUAUGAGCCGGACAGAAGAGGGACCAAUUAAGUACAUGUACAGUUUAAAUUUGUUUAUUACAUGUCAUAUUUUAUUAUAAUCUUUAUAAGCCAUUUUAAGUUCUUUUAUCAUCCAUUUAAUUUUAUUUUAUUUUCUAUGUGUGAUGUCCACAAAAUGUUAACUGCGCCAUUGAGCAUUGAGUGUUUUAUAUUGGUAAUAGGCGCAUUAUAAAUAAUAAAUUAUUAUUAUUAUUACAGUACCAAUUGCAUUGAAAUUACUUUCUCAUUUUUAGCAAUAUCAUUCAUUACCCAUUACAUUGAAAGUAAAUAAUUACAUUUUAUUACUAUUUAAAGAUUAGUGCUAAUUUAGCAUUUAAUCAAUCAGAUUUAAAGACAUGCAUACCAUUGGAUAGUUCGCACUGAUGUUUAUAUAUAUAUAUUCAUAUCUUUCUCAUUUUAUUUAUUUGUGUAUAUAUGCUUGAA